rnacentral:rRNA from 1 species
CCUACGGGAGGCAGCAGUGGGGAAUUUUCCGCAAUGGGCGAAAGCCUGACGGAGCAACGCCGCGUGAGGGAUGAAGGCCUCUGGGCUGUAAACCUCUUUUCUCAAGGAAGAAGAUCUGACGGUACUUGAGGAAUAAGCCACGGCUAAUUCCGUGCCAGCAGCCGCGGUAAUACGGGAGUGGCAAGCGUUAUCCGGAAUUAUUGGGCGUAAAGCGUCCGCAGGCGGCCUGAAAAGUCUGCUGUUAAAGCGUGGAGCUUAACUCCAUUUCAGCAGUGGAAACUGUCAGGCUUGAGUGUGGUAGGGGCAGAGGGAAUUCCCGGUGUAGCGGUGAAAUGCGUAGAUAUCGGGAAGAACACCAGUGGCGAAAGCGCUCUGCUGGGCCAUAACUGACGCUCAUGGACGAAAGCCAGGGGAGCGAAAGGGAUUAGAUACCCCUGUAGUCCUGGCCGUAAACGAUGAACACUAGGUGUCGGGGGAAUCGACCCCCUCGGUGUCGUAGCCAACGCGUUAAGUGUUCCGCCUGGGGAGUACGCACGCAAGUGUGAAACUCAAAGGAAUUGACGG